rnacentral:rRNA from 1 species
AUUGAACGCUGGCGGCAUGCUUUACACAUGCAAGUCGAACGGUAACAGGGAGCUUGCUCCGCUGACGAGUGGCGAACGGGUGAGUAAUGCGUCGGAACGUGCCGAGUAGUGGGGGAUAACGCAGCGAAAGUUGUGCUAAUACCGCAUACGUACUGAGGUAGAAAGUGGGGGACCUUCGGGCCUCACGCUAUUCGAGCGGCCGACGUCUGAUUAGCUAGUAGGUGAGGUAAAGGCUCACCUAGGCGACGAUCAGUAGCGGGUCUGAGAGGAUGAUCCGCCACACUGGGACUGAGACACGGCCCAGACUCCUACGGGAGGCAGCAGUGGGGAAUUUUGGACAAUGGGCGAAAGCCUGAUCUAGCCAUGCCGCGUGUCUGAAGAAGGCCUUCGGGUUGUAAAGGACUUUUGUCAGGGAGGAAAUCCCUAGUGCUAAUAACACUGGGGGAUGACAGUACCUGAAGAAUAAGCACCGGCUAACUACGUGCCAGCCGCCGCCGUAA